AGCUCUUAAUUUUUUAUUGAAAGUGAUACCUGCCCAGUGAUAAAUAAAUUAAAUUAUAAUAAUUUUGAUCUUAUUAAACGGAUGCGGUAACUCUAACUGUAAUAAAGUAGCAUAAUUAGUUGCCAUUUAAUUGAUGGAGAGUAUGAAUGGUCAAACGAGCGUCUCACUGUUUUAAAUAAAAAUUUUUUGAAAUUAAAAUAAUAGUGAAGAUUCUAUUUAAUAUCGUAAGACGAAAAGACCCUAUAGAGCUUUACUAUAUUUUCUUAUUAAAAUUAAUAAUAUUUUUAUUAACAAUAUUGAGAAAUUGGUAGUUUAGUUGGGGCGACUGUCUUUUAUAGUUAACAAAGAUAAGCAAAAUUAAUACUUAAUUUAUUGUAUAAUUAAUUAAUUUAACAAUUAUUAACAUAGGCUAUAAUGACCCGUUAAAGUAAUUAAAAAUAUUUAACGAUUAAUUGAUAAAAGCUACCUUAGGGAUAACAGGAUAAUUUUGUUUUAGAGUUCAUAUUAAUUACAAAGUUUGUCACCUCUAUGUUGAAUUAAGAUAUCCUAGUGAUGCAGAUGUUACUAAGGGUAGGUCUGUUCGACCUUUAAAAUCUU
rnacentral:rRNA from 1 species